rnacentral:tRNA from 1 species
AUUUUAAUAGCUUAAUUUAGAGUUCUACAUUGAAGCUGUAGAGGUGGUAUAAUGCCUUAAAAUA